GUGAGUCAUCGAAUCUUUGAACGCAUAUUGCACCCUCUGGUAUUCUGGAGGGUACACUUGUCCGAGCGCCAUUUAACCCUUCAAGCAUUGCUUGGUGUUAGGCUAGGUCUUUUGGGGACCAGCCUGUAACUUGUAGGUGGUUACCACCCAUAAUCCCCCCUAGCGUAGCAAGCUCACGCACUCGCUUCGGGGAUAGGGAGUGUAGCCCGACAAAACCCACUAAAAAAAGUUUUGGCCUCGGAUCAAGUGGGGAUACCCGCUGAACUUAAGCAUAUCAAUAAGCGGAGGA
rnacentral:misc_RNA from 1 species